rnacentral:rRNA from 1 species
ACUAGCCUACGGGAGGCAGCAGUGGGGAAUAUUGCACAAUGGGGGAAACCCUGAUGCAGCGACGCCGCGUGAGUGAAGAAGUAAUUCGUUAUGUAAAGCUCUAUCAGCAGGGAAGAAAAUGACGGUACCUGAGUAAGAAGCCCCGGCUAACUACGUGCCAGCAGCCGCGGUAAUACGUAGGGGGCAAGCGUUAUCCGGAUUUACUGGGCGUAAAGGGAGCGUAGACGGCAGUGCAGGUCUGGAGUGAGAGGCGUG